rnacentral:tRNA from 1 species
GCCCCCGUAAUUCAGUGGCAGAAUGUGUGACUUCUACUAACGAAAUCUCAUUGUCGCGGGUUCGAUCCCCGCCGGGGGUU